AGUGGCGGACGGGUGAGUAACGCGUGAGAAUCUGCCUUCAGGAUGGGGACAACAGUUGGAAACGACUGCUAAUACCCAAUAUGCCUACGGGUGAAACUUAUUUGGCCUGAAGAUGAGCUCGCGUCUGAUUAGCUAGUUGGUGGUGUAAGAGACUACCAAGGCGACGAUCAGUAGCUGGUCUGAGAGGAUGAGCAGCCACACUGGGACUGAGACACGGCCCAGACUCCUACGGGAGGCAGCAGUGGGGAAUUUUCCGCAAUGGGCGAAAGCCUGACGGAGCAAUACCGCGUGAGGGAGGAAGGUUUUUGGAUUGUAAACCUCUUUUCUCAGGGAAGAAUUAUGACGGUACCUGAGGAAUAAGCACCGGCUAACUCCGUGCCAGCAGCCGCGGUAAUACGGAGGGUGCAAGCGU
rnacentral:rRNA from 1 species